rnacentral:misc_RNA from 1 species
GCGGCGGCCCGGCAACUCGUCGUCGACAAGAUGUCUGCUCAGGCGAUCGGAGCUGCAACCGUCGCCCUCUAUGAGGAGCAGUUGCAGCGCGUUCACUAACUUCAAGCCUAGCAGACGCUUUUCGCGCUACCUUUGCUCCAACGGUGCAAAGUUACGCGCCUCGCAUUUGUCGUUGAUGACGGCAGGCCGCCAAUUCGCAACCGUUUCACCUUUCAGGAAGAACGUGAAGUAGCGAAGCUCAUUGCCGAAGCUCGCGCGCGAGCAAACGGUCCAU